UCCUACGGGGGGCAGCAGUGGGGAAUAUUGCACAAUGGGCGAAAGCCUGAUGCAGCGACGCCGCGUGAAGGAUGAAGUAUUUCGGUAUGUAAACUUCUAUCAGCAGGGAAGAAAAUGACGGUACCUGACUAAGAAGCCCCGGCUAACUACGUGCAAGCAGACGCGGUAAUACGUAGGGGGCAAGCGUUAUCCGGAUUUACUGGGUGUAAAGGGAGCGUAGACGGCGAUGCAAGCCAGAUGUGAAAGCCCGGGG
rnacentral:rRNA from 1 species